AACCUCAAACUUGAAACCCCUACUAUCAACUGCUCUGCCUCUGCGACGCCGUUUAACUGAACCUGAACCCGACCCAGAACAGCCCGCCCAAGGAGGUCCGGUUCAGACGGUGGAACAACGCCAACGCCGAGAAAUUUAACCAGUGGCGGAGGGCCCAGCAAGAAAUCGAGGACGAUAUCCGCCGCGAGCGCCGCUUCGACUCCGCCACUAGAAUUGCCACUAUUUACGACUCUGCCACUGACACCACCACCACGAAUGAAACAUUCAAAUCCAUAGGCACACCUUCGUUUCCCUCAAGCCCUUUCAUCUCGGGCAAAAAAAUCCAAAUACUCUAAAAACCCUAACUCUAACGAAUCGCACCCCGUAUUUCGCCGAAUCAUAAGACACACGAGGCUCUCGAAAAUCCCAAAAGAUAAAGGACCAACAGUUGACAGAAAAGCCAACAUUUCCGUCGGCGACGAUGGCCUUUC